UACGUAGGGUGCGAGCGUUAAUCGGAAUUACUGGGCGUAAAGCGUGCGCAGGCGGCUUUGCAAGACAGAUGUGAAAUCCCCGGGCUCAACCUGGGAACUGCAUUUGUGACUGCAAGGCUAGAGUACGGCAGAGGGGGAUGGAAUUCCGCGUGUAGCAGUGAAAUGCGUAGAUAUGCGGAGGAACACCAAUGGCGAAGGCAAUCCCCUGGGCCUGUACUGACGCUCAUGCACGAAAGCGUGGGAGCAAACAGG
rnacentral:rRNA from 1 species